rnacentral:rRNA from 1 species
AUUGAACGCUGGCGGCAGGCCUAACACAUGCAAGUCGAACGAGUGGCGGACGGGUGAGUAAUGUCUGGGAAACUGCCCGAUGGAGGGGGAUAACUACUGGAAACGGUAGCUAAUACCGCAUACCAUCGGAUGUGCCCAGAUGGGAUUAGCUAGUGGGUGGGGUAACGGCUCACCUAGGCGACGAUCCCUAGCUGGUCUGAGAGGAUGACCAGCCACACUGGAACUGAGACACGGCCCAGACUCCUACGGGAGGCAGCAGUGGGGAAUUUUGGACAAUGGGCGCAACCCUGAUGCAGCCAUCCCGCGUGUAUGAAGAAGGCCUUCGGGUUGUAAAGUACUUUUAGCAAGGAAGCGUUACUCGCAGAAUAAGCACCGGCUAACUACGUGCCAGCAGCCGCGGUAAUAC